GAGUUUGAUCCUGGCUCAGGACGAACGCUGGCGGCGCGCCUAACACAUGCAAGUCGAACGAGAGAGAGGGAGCUUGCUUCCUCAAUCGAGUGGCGAACGGGUGAGUAACGCGUGAGGAACCUGCCUCAAAGAGGGGGACAACAGUUGGAAACGACUGCUAAUACCGCAUAAGCCCACAGCUCGGCAUCGAGCAGAGGGAAAAGGAGCAAUCCGCUUUGAGAUGGCCUCGCGUCCGAUUAGCUAGUUGGUGAGGUAACGGCCCACCAAGGCAACGAUCGGUAGCCGGACUGAGAGGUUGAACGGCCACAUUGGGACUGAGACACGGCCCAGACUCCUACGGGAGGCAGCAGUGGGGAAUAUUGCACAAUGGGGGAAACCCUGAUGCAGCGACGCCGCGUGGAGGAAGAAGGUCUUCGGAUUGUAAACUCCUGUUGUUGAGGAAGAUAAUGACGGUACUCAACAAGGAAGUGACGGCUAACUACGUGCCAGCAGCCGCGGUAAAACGUAGGUCACAAGCGUUGUCCGGAAUUACUGGGUGUAAAGGGAGCGCAGGCGGGAAGACAAGUUGGAAGUGAAAUCUAUGGGCUCAACCCAUAAACUGCUUUCAAAACUGUUUUCUUGAGUAGUGCAGAGGUAGGCGGAAUUCCCGGUGUAGCGGUGGAAUGCGUAGAUAUCGGGAGGAACACCAGUGGCGAAAGCGGCCUACUGGGCACCAACUGACGCUGAGGCUCGAAAGUGUGGGUAGCAAACAGGAUUAGAUACCCUGGUAGUCCACACCGUAAACGAUGAUUACUAGGUGUUGGAGGAUUGACCCCUUCAGUGCCGCAGUUAACACAAUAAGUAAUCCACCUGGGGAGUACGACCGCAAGGUUGAAACUCAAAGGAAUUGACGGGGGCCCGCACAAGCAGUGGAGUAUGUGGUUUAAUUCGACGCAACGCGAAGAACCUUACCAAGUCUUGACAUCCCUUGACGAUGCUGGAAACAGUAUUUCUCUUCGGAGCAAGGAGACAGGUGGUGCAUGGUUGUCGUCAGCUCGUGUCGUGAGAUGUUGGGUUAAGUCCCGCAACGAGCGCAACCCUUACUGUCAGUUACUACGCAAGAGGACUCUGGCAGGACUGCCGUUGACAAAACGGAGGAAGGUGGGGAUGACGUCAAAUCAUCAUGCCCUUUAUAACUUGGGCUACACACGUACUACAAUGGCGUUAAACAAAGAGAAGCAAGACCGCGAGGUGGAGCAAAACUCAGAAACAACGUCCCAGUUCGGACUGCAGGCUGCAACUCGCCUGCACGAAGUCGGAAUUGCUAGUAAUCGUGGAUCAGCAUGCCACGGUGAAUACGUUCCCGGGCCUUGACACAC
rnacentral:rRNA from 1 species